rnacentral:rRNA from 1 species
UACGGGGGGGGCAAGCGUUGUUCGGAAUUACUGGGCGUAAAGGGCUCGUAGGCGGCCAACUAAGUCAGACGUGAAAUCCCUCGGCUUAACCGGGGAACUGCGUCUGAUACUGGAUGGCUUGAGUUUGGGAGAGGGAUGCGGAAUUCCAGGUGUAGCGGUGAAAUGCGUAGAUAUCUGGAGGAACACCGGUGGCGAAGGCGGCUCACUGGCCCGGUACUGACGCUGAGGUGCGAAAGCGUGGGGAGCAAACAGG